CAUGAGAGUUUGAUCAUGGCUCAGAUUGAACGCUGGCGGCAUGCCUUACACAUGCAAGUCGAACGGCAGCACGGGAGCAAUCCUGGUGGCGAGUGGCGAACGGGUGAGUAAUACAUCGGAACGUGCCCAAUCGUGGGGGAUAACGCAGCGAAAGCUGUGCUAAUACCGCAUAAGAUCUACGGAUGAAAGCAGGGGACUCGCAAGAGCCUUGCGCGAAUGGAGCGGCUGAUGGCAGAUUAGGUAGUUGGUGAGGUAAAGGCUCACCAAGCCUUCGAUCUGUAGCUGGUCUGAGAGGACGACCAGCCACACUGGGACUGAGACACGGCCCAGACUCCUACGGGAGGCAGCAGUGGGGAAUUUUGGACAAUGGGCGCAAGCCUGAUCCAGCCAUGCCGCGUGCAGGAUGAAGGCCUUCGGGUUGUAAACUGCUUUUGUACGGAACGAAAAGGUUCUUUCUAAUAAAGAGAGCUCAUGACGGUACCGUAAGAAUAAGCACCGGCUAACUACGUGCCAGCAGCCGCGGUAAUACGUAGGGUGCGAGCGUUAAUCGGAAUUACUGGGCGUAAAGCGUGCGCAGGC
rnacentral:rRNA from 1 species